UGCCAGCAGCCGCGGUAAUACGGAGGGUGCGAGCGUUAAUCGGAAUCACUGGGCGUAAAGCGUGCGUAGGCAGCGCAGCAAGUCAGACGUGAAAGCCCUCGGCUCAACCGAGGAAUAGCGUUUGAAACUGCUGUGCUUGAGUCUCGGAGAGGUUGGCGGAAUUCCAGGUGUAGGAGUGAAAUCCGUAGAUAUCUGGAGGAACACCGGUGGCGAAGGCGGCCAACUGGACGAGUACUGACGCUGAGGUACGAAAGCUAGGGUAUCGAACGGGAUUAGAUA
rnacentral:rRNA from 1 species